rnacentral:sRNA from 1 species
GAAAACACUGUAUGCUUGAGUCAUAGAAUACAAAGAAGCCAAAAUGGUUUUGGACCUAGAAGCUUAGUUACUCACUUCAGGCUAGAAUCUGAAUGAGAAAAUUCUAUAAUUUUAAUCACCAGUCAUUGUAAAGUGACAGCAUUAGUAGACUAAAACUUGUUUCUUGUCUGAGUCACUAAGGUAAUGGUGUCUAGCAAAACAUGAGGAAGAAUUCAAGAUUGGUGUGUGCGUGUGUGUGCGUGUGUGUGCGCGUGUGUGCGCGCGUGCGUGUGUGUUUGUGUGUGUGUGUGUGUGUGUGUGUGUGUUCUAUGUGUGUAUCUCUAUGUGAAUUCUGUUUCAUGGCUCCAUUACAGGGGUGAGAUGAAAAACAGAUCAAGAGAAAGUCUAGUGUUGAGAAUUUUCCUUCCUUGUAGACACCCGUGAACUCAAAACUUCUAUUUUAAGUCUCAGGCAGAACAGCACAACAAGUCUAAUCAAAGUCUGUGUGCCCAGAGCUCUGAAACAGAGCUCUAGAUGGAGAGAGAUCAGGGGCAGGUUCUGCCUUUGAGCCUGAAGCAUGGUGGUGUGAGUGGAUGCCAGCGCCUCUAUUCACCUUCCCGGGCUGUUGGUUCCAACUUCAGUGUUGGCACUGAAGUUCCACACCCUGUUAAGCCAAGUACUUAGAGCAUUACCUACACUUCCCAUCAGCGACAUUGAAGGGCACUCCCAUGGAGAUGCUAAUCUGUGGAACAAGAAGAGCCCUCCUAAUUUCACAGAUGCCUUUCAUAGUUUUCUUCCCCAGGACCGCAUUUCACAGGCAGCUGGGCAACUUUGGCCAGGGGAUGACCCAACACCUAGCAACUUGGAAAAAGUCUUUAGAAAGGAAAGGAAAAGUCUUUGAAAAUGGAAAAAGGAAAAGAACACUUUAAUUACAUAACAGCAUUUUAAAUGUUUAAUCAAAUACCUUUGUGUGCUGAGAACACAACUCGGUGUCUUCCCCCCACCCCUUUGUCUUAAAAAGAAAAAAUUUAAAGUUACACAAACAACCACAAAACUUGAAGGAAGUACAUGACACCUUAAAAGUCAAGUUGCUUUUGAAAGCAGCCAGCAGAAGUUAGUGAAGACCGUGUCUCCAGAGCACGGAGAGCAUUCAGGUUAUCGGAUGCCUUUUCUACAGAGAGACCGGACGAUGUGUAUGUACAGCCAGUGGACAACGCAGACAUUCCGGGUAGGGAUGGAGAGAUUGGGAAGGAGGAGGGGCAGGGUGGAGGAAGAAGAACGGAGUCUGUAUGGGAAAUUAGUGGGAGAAGAAUGCUCAGGACACUCCUCCCUUAGAUCAAUCCUGUCCCAACCCUUUGGGGAGUGUUGGCAAUCUCCCAAGUCUCGAACCCUAGGUCGGUAGACUAAUGGAAAUUUCUUGUCAUGACUGACUGGUUGAUGAGGCCUUUUAGGAAGUAGUCAGUCAUCUUAGACUAUUAGAGUUCCAAAAUUAAGAUCAGAAGUAUCAUGGGUUCCUGGGACUAGAAGUAAGCAGCUAAAGCAGGAAAGAGUGUUAACAAAUGUAAAAAGGAUGACGCUCAACUAUGCCGCUCUCUUUCUUCUGUGCAACUGUUAAGUCUUCAUGGCAACACACAGUACGAGCGAGGAACCACUUUAAUAUGGGGGAAAGCAUCGAAAGAGAAAAAUCACACAUCUCAAAUCUGACAAGCUCGAAGGAGCAGUGGCUCCGUGGACGUUGAUUUGGUUGAACCUGCAAAUUCUCUUUAUGGAAACGGGACUCGGGCCAUUUGCUACAACUAAUUCCAAUAAGGAAUUCCUGCCUUGUAGCACGGUCGCUUCAGUCACCAUGAGGUUUGGUUGGGUUGGUCUGCUUGUCUUCGCUCACAGAGGAAGAACUAUUCUUUUCUCUUCUGUCAUUUUCUGCUGGAUGCUGCCGGAGCCUCCGUGUGCCCUUUUCUGGUACUUUGUGUUUCUUUAGGGCUCCCCUCCCUUUCCUGUGGCUGCUUGCCCAUCCUGUGACUGACCCCUGUGCUGGCUUCUCAUCUCCAUGUUUCCUCCUCUGGUUAACUGCUGAGAUACACAGCUUGCCUGCCCCCGGGGCUUCCUUUUGUUUUAAACGCUAAUAAAACCAUCUUCAUGUUUCCACUUGAGUCCAUUGUUAAAUUCUUCUAAUUAAUGAGACUAAGAACCCCAGGAGGGGAACUUGAUGUUUCUGGUAUCACAGGCAUAGAUUAGAAGCCAGGGUCUUAAAUGUAUAACGGUCAAGGUGACAGUUUUAGCUUUCUACCGCCAACUCCUCAAUGGACAUAGCACUGGCUACCCUGUAACAUCAGCUCUCAGUUCCUGCCUUCCAAGAUUGGGGAUCAGGAGAGAAGGAGGUUUGUAUCUAGACCGCAUGGCAGGCAGCUGGCACAGAAUACGUGUGGGUUGCCAACAGUGCUGAGAGAACUAGGUUAGACACUAGAGGAAAAUGUCUAAACCUUAGACAUACCGGAGAAACGACAGUAGGAGCACUGCUAUAUCCACUCCUAAAAAUCCACUUCACAGAAGAAGGCUGACCCAUGCUGGUCCCCGAGCAGUUAGUGAAAGGUACGAUGGCAACUGAUCAUCGUGACGGACCAUCGGUUUAAGGGUUCUUUGGUGUCCGAACGUAUUCCAAGAAAAUAGAAACGCCAAGAAGAGGGAUCUUGAGCCUGGGAGCUAUGGGAAAGGUUGGAUGCAGAGUCCAUGUUCGGAAGGAAUCUGUCUGCCCAACUGCACUCGAGACCAAGUCAUAUCUUCACCUUUCUUAAUCAAACAUCUAAAGCAAAGCUUCCUGACUUCUGAUAAAAUUCCGAGUCUGAGGUAACCCUCGGGGAUAGCGAAAAUCAGACUCCAGCCCAGGCCACAGUCUUUGGCUGCAACCGAGUUUGAAAAUGCUUAGGUGGGACAUAGAGCCUGUCGUAGUCAAAGGCCACCCCGUUCCCUGUGCAGUUCCUUCUCCUUCAUUCACUGAAGCAGAAGGCUCCCAGGGGUACCCAAUGGAGAAGAAAGUUUGUAGUCAAGUUUUGAACAAAUUGGAAACACCUCUGUUCCUGGCUUCUAAUCAUCACAACCCCUGAUAGCGUCGGAAUGUGUGAGGCCAGUCACAAGCGCACCUCCGGUGAGGCUUCUGCAUUCAGGUCUAUGGGUGUCUCAAUCACCAGCUCUCUCAAAGGCUCAGCCAUGUCUGUCAUGUUCCCAUGCAUGGUCCUGACUCCUGGACACUCGUGGGCCAUAGUAUCCUUAAGAGCAACUUUCUUCCAGUGAGGAGAGAAACUCAUUAAACACACCUCCUGUCUCUGCUUGUUUCUUCAGCUCCCUUUCUUUUGAUCUUCAGAAAGCAACCGAUAAAAGAACCAG